CCUUUAUUUGGAAUAUGACGUAAGUAACUGCUCCCAGGUGAAGGUGGGAACUAAGUAUACUGGAAUGUAUGGCCGUUGCCAUGGCAACAGUGACCAGGUGCCGAGGUGGUGUCACUGCUGGAGGCAAAGGCAAUUCCUGAUACCAACAGUAAGACCCUUUUACCAAAGACACCACACACUUGCAUUCUAAAACAUGGAGAAAUCAAGCGCGUCCCGAUCUGGAAGCUUCAUCCCUACCGGCUAGCUUUUAUGGUGUCAGAAGAUGCUGUGGGUGAAAUAAGAGAAGGAAAGUCAAUAUCAGUCUUAGCAGCUGGGAACCCUGUGAGCCACAGUAAUGACUGGUCUGGCAACAGUUGAAUUAGUUCUAGCUUAGUAGCCAACCCGUUUCUGGCUGAAUUUAAGGCCUGCUCCAUGAGAUGGAGUCAAAAGCUAGCACCGUGUUCAGGGCGGAAAACCUGAGGCUAGAUGGAUCAUGAGACCCAGGGGAGAACCCUAGAAUUGAUUCUGCUCAGGGGACAUAGUAUUAAAACAACUCCUACUGACUUAUUGCUCUUCCUAUAGAUUAAUUCGUCUCUGAAUCUCAUCAGAGAAAUGUCUGUUAGCAGCUGACAGCAAUUAACUCAGAGACCCACAACUGGUCAGCAUGCAGAGAAUUAGAGAUGCAGAGAGCUCAGCCCUAAAGGAGACAACAUACCCCCUCCUCCUCCCGUUCCUCAGGAACCAUCACAGAAGAGGAAAUGGAGAGUUAUAAGAGUCAGCGAUGCUGGGUAACUACAAAGAAACAGUGUUUUCUGGACUCUAUAGGGGAAGUCGCAUAUACAAACUCACAGUGGGGUAGCCUGUGUGAACUCAAGCCUGAAAAAAACCCAGCACAGAGAGAGGAAGAUAGUCAAGAAGUCCUACCCCAAACUGAGGACCUACAGACAUUGGAUACCUGCUGGAAAGAUGAGGGUGACCCCAUUUUCUUUAAGUACGCUUUAGAAACAUAAAAUAAGAGAUGGCAAUGAAAAGUAUCUUCCCAUCAUGCUUCCAACCCAUCCCUCCUUCCUUCUGUUCCUGGCCAGUCUCUGCUUCAUCCUCCCUACAUUAUUGUGGGGCAGAGCUUACCUGGCUGUUCCCAGAUAGCUGUGGGAGUGGAGCUUAGACAGAAUACCAACAUGCACAGAUGAGCCGGAUGCCAGAAGCCAGCCCUCCACAACCGUGGCUUCUGCAUGAGCAAAAUCACCAACCAGAGAUUAGAUGAGAAAAUGGACGCAGAGAGACGCUGAAAAAUGUUUCCCAGCCUCCACCAACUUCUUCAAACUCUGUGGUGUUCGGUUCUCAGCACGGCAUUCCCUUCACCGUUUUAAUCAGAUCUCCAUGAAGCCUUCACAGGAUCAGGCCUGUUGAUAACUCCCUCACAGAAGGGUCAUUAGGCCUUCCCCUGAACUUCCACCCACUCCCUCCUUCCUGUGCCUCACCCACCCCUCACCCCAGCUCUAUAACAUUCUGCUCUGGCUGCUCGCCCUCUCUGGAGGUGGUAGAGCUGAGGAAGGUACGGGGUUAACUGAAGGAGGAACACUGUCUUCAGUUGCCGGUUGCCGAGGCCAACAGCCAUGCUGACGUGGGACUUUGCAGCUCUGUGGUCGUCUCGCAGUCACGUACAUUCCUAUGAGUAACCUCUCAACCACCCUUCUGUCAGAGAGCUCGCCUAAAAUGUAACCGUCAACUAUGCUGGACCAAAAGGGAGUCCAGGUGUCCCAGAGAGGCCAAACAGAAGGCUACAUCCACUCACCGUGGAGCAGCACACCAAUCUUUGCCAGCUACCUGGACUCUUCUGCCUUGCUUCAGAAGAUGUCACCUGGAGUGCUCUACACAUAGCCACACUUCACGUGUGCCAAUUACCAAGAUCAUCUGCGUGAACAGUGAGAACCCCGCUCAUUAGGCCACAAGACUGUCCUAGGAGGGUAGAAGAAAAACACCUCACCAGUCUCUUGAAAGUGUGGCCUGUUAUCAAUUCCUGUUGACCCUGUAGGGAGAAAUCCUGUAUCUGACUUCCUGUGUGCAGUGGGAGAAACCCUAAAACAAUGAGUAACUCUGGAGUCCUCUGACUGCCCGGCACCUAGUGCAGUGUGCCUUGAAGGAGGUGGAUGUGGGAGCCACAUGCUCAUUAUAUAAUGACAUUAUUAUACUGUUAUAUUACUAAUUACUACAUUAUUAUAUACUUUGAUCAAAACUUUCACACUUCUCACAUCCAAACACUACCAUCAAAGCUGAAAAAAAAUCACCCAAAGCGGGUUUUAGAGUCGGUUGAUGAGUUUGACUGGGGCAGGGCCAUAUUCCGAGGUCUGUUUAACGUAAGAGAUGAGUCAAGGACAGGAAAGGUAUGGAGUUCACGUGAAGCAUGUGAGGAAAUGGGUGUGAACCGCUCCAACUAGCAUCAAUGCUAUGGCUGUCUGAACUCCGCAUGCUGACAUUUUUCCAGACAGCAGAAGCCCCAAAUUUUACAAAGUGCCUAUGAAAUUAUUUGUAAAUAUGUAUUCAUCUUUUUAAACAUUCUCCAUCCUCUCCUGUUGACUACUUGGGAUUUGACUGCAUGCGAGCGCAUUUUGGUGACAGUCCUGCCCAAAUUAAGGAUUCCAGCGGAAUUAUGAUGUCACUCUUCACCACUCUUCAGUCUAAAAAUCAAACCAAAAAAUUAAAAACAAUCCAACGGACAAAGGCCCUGCACUGGGUAUUGUCAAGAACUUAGCACCAUGGUUCCUCAGGAAUGGCCUCUUGCAGGUAAUUGCUGAGAAUGCUGAUGGUUUACUGACCUGCUGGGGUUCAUGGAGAAUUAUUGACUCAGACCUAAUUAAAUUGUUGCCUGCUGCUGUUUGAAAUUCUGCCAGGGAAUCCUCGCUGUCCUUAGCAGAGUCUUUCAGUUGGAGGCUACAGCUGAACUGAAUCAAGG